UUACGUCCAUAUCGCGUUGAAACACCUGUUCUCGUACGAUCACCAAUGUUGAGCAACGUCGAGCCUGGUCAGAACUUAGAUGGAUGACCGCUUGGAAAUACCAGCUGCUGUAAG